rnacentral:rRNA from 1 species
AGAAUCAACGCUGGCGGCGUGCCUAACACAUGCAAGUCGAACGAGAAAGUGGAGCAAUCCAUGAGUAAAGUGGCGACCGGGUGAGUAACACGUGACUAACCUACCUUCAAGUGGGGGAUAACCUCGGGAAACCGGGGCUAAUACCGCAUAACAUCUUUGGAGUGGAAAUUCUGGAGAUCAAAGGAGCAAUUCGCUGGAAGAGGGGGUCGCGGCUGAUUAGCUAGUUGGCGGGGUAAUGGCCCACCAAGGCUUUGAUCGGUAGCCGGCCUGAGAGGGCGACCGGGCCACGACUGGGACUGAGACACGGCCCAGACUCCUACGGGAGGCAGCAGUGGGGGAAUAUUGCGCAAUGGGCGAAAGCCUGACGCAGCGACGCCGCGUGGGGGAUGAAGGCCUUCGGGUUGUAAACCCCUUUCAGCAGGGACGAAGCGAGAGUGACGGUACCUGCAGAAGAAGCGCCGGCUAACUACGUGCCAGCAGCCGC